AGGGCCUGAAGGCAGCAGCCGCGAAGAAGGACGCGCAACUGCGCGAG
rnacentral:SRP_RNA from 17 species